GACGAACGCUGGCGGCGUGCCUAAUACAUGCAAGUCGAGCGCAGGAAAUCGACGGAACCCUUCGGGGGGAAGUCGAUGGAAUGAGCGGCGGACGGGUGAGUAACACGUAAAGAACCUGCCCUCAGGUCUGGGAUAACCACGAGAAAUCGGGGCUAAUACCGGAUGGGUCAUCGGACCGCAUGGUCCGAGGAUGAAAGGCGCUUCGGCGUCGCCUGGGGAUGGCUUUGCGGUGCAUUAGCUAGUUGGUGGGGUAAUGGCCCACCAAGGCGACGAUGCAUAGCCGACCUGAGAGGGUGAUCGGCCACACUGGGACUGAGACACGGCCCAGACUCCUACGGGAGGCAGCAGUAGGGAAUCUUCCACAAUGGACGAAAGUCUGAUGGAGCAGCGCCGCGUGAACGAUGAAGGCCUUCGGGUCGUAAAGUUCUGUUGUAAGGGAAGAACAGGUGCCGCAGGCAAUGGCGGCACCUUGACGGUACCUUGCGAGAAAGCCACGGCUAAUUACGUGCCAGCCGCCGCCGUAA
rnacentral:rRNA from 1 species